GCAGAGGAGCAGAUGGACUGGGGCACUGAAACGCUGGUGCCGGUUUCGGCACUGGUUCUCAAAGGGAGAAGACGGGCCUCGGGACCAGGCGGAGGAAAGAUGGGGGAGACGUCUCAGGGGUGAGAGGAACUGCAUUUGGUGACACGCUGCAGCAGGCCUGACCCGGAAGCAAGCGGGAUGGGGACACCAAGGACCAAGAAAGAAGAGAGCACCAGAACACUACCCCGUAUGUAAAAAAGGCAUCUUUGGAAUCGAAGCACAAGAAACUUACACGGUGUUGAAGAAACUUAGAAGUGGACUGAAAAAGGGCCUUAAGGACUGACCUAAGGGAUAUUCCAGCAUCAUCCGUUAGGUAAUAAGAAAACACCCGAAGCUUUCUGAGCAUUGAAGUCCUGUGACUGAAGUGGUAUUUUUAAAAAGACUGAUAUGAGUGGUGUGCAGGGAGGAAGACAACGGGGGAGUCUCCUCCACGAGGGAGCCCACGAGGAAGUAACUGUGGGAACCGAGCCCCUGAUCUCCGUCCGUGCCGCACCAAAAAAGCCAUCUGUUGAGGUUCCACGGGAUCGCCACCACGCUUAGGACGGAACCUGGACUCCAGGCUACUCAGGUUUUAAUAAUCCGGAUAACAAUUUGAUGGCGAUGGACAUAACAGAGUGGAUGAUGAACCGUCCGAAAAGCCCGGGCGAGCUGAGAGAUGUUUGGCCUGCAUCAACAUCCGAGCUCUGAGAUGGGGGAAGGGGGUGGGGGGUGGGGGGGAAUACAAGGCAGAUUUACAAAAGAAAAGGCCGCAUUGUGUGCGCACUGCCUCCCACCAUCUGUUCUUCCCCCAGGUUAGCGGAAUGAAAUAAACUCUCUGGGCAAGAUAUUGAUUCACAUUUUUCAAGUGCUGACGCCCGCUCUGGCCGCAGAGCUGAGGUCAGAAUUCUUGUGUCCUUUUCCAGCCAAACUGAUUUCAGGACAGGCAAGCAAUCACACAAUGCUCUUCCAUGCAAUAAAUAUGAAAAUACUUAACCUCCCUGGGGUAUUAGGGAGCAUAAAUCAUGUCUUUAAAGGCCCGUGACGAGCUGAAAUGAAAAGCGUUCAAAGUAGGAAACGCCACGAGCCCACGACUGCGGCCGCUCACUGGGUUGUUUUGUGCAGAUCGCUGUGCUAUUAACUUGGACUUCUUGAUGGAGCCAUUAACAAGAGGGUCCCCUCCUGAGGGCCGACGACAGCCUGUGGCUGGGGGACCCCGCUACAAGCAUGGAGGCUUUCCCCAGUCUGAUUUUCAUCUCAAAGCCACUACGCUGGGAGGGAUCUCCAUGGCUGCUUUCCCCUCUGGCGAAGUCCAGCCACUGCCCAAGUACCUAGGCCACUUUGCAGAUCCAAGUGUGAUCCAGGGACCAGUGGUUUGGGCACCGGCUGGAAGCAGUCAGAAAUGCAGACUCCCAGGCCCCACCACCGGCCUCCUGACCGGGAAUCUGCACUGUCACAAGAUUCCCAGAAUGAACUUUUAUCUUCAGGAGCCGUAUCUGCACACUGGGAUAACUGAUGGCCACUGACUACACUGACUGCUACUAUACUUUCCUCCAUGUAAAUGCGCCAUUUCCUUAGGGUACGGGCCGUGGAUAUGUCCGUGGAUGUUUCAAUAGCUGGUCGUGUCAAGGCAGACAGACUUUUUGUCUUCGCCCCCGAAAAGAACUGAGACAGACUCUUUCUUUCAAAAGUUGGCAGAGAUGUGCGGCACGGAGGUCCAGCUCAUUUGUCGAGGCGAACAUGUUGCUGUCUAACACAGACCGAUCACCAGCUGGGAAGCAAGGCAUUCGCUGUAGGUUCACAAUAACACUGGCUCUUUGCUGCUCGGCUGACCAUCAGUGACAGAUUGAUGUGCAGUUCUUUGCGCGGGGACGCUGGCUGCACGGGAGAACUUGGGGCAGCUAAGCAGGUUGUAAGUAUAUUAUUCAUGCACUCCCUGCCUAGAAAAAUAAAAGCUUCCCACCUUUCUGACCUGAGUUUGGAGAACCGUCAGGGACCGAGUUUGCUUUGUGACUUGGAAGGCUGCUCCCAGCCUUCCAGAGAGGCAUAAAAAAUGAGUACCUAUUGGCACUUUCCAAUGACAUGCCAAGAUCCACAAAGAGAAAUGACCACGGAGCGUUUUUUUUUUUUUUCCUUUUCCCACUGCGAGGGGGAGAGAAGAGACAUGAUAUUUCAUGCCGCUGCUAAAAGAGUCGGUUUUGUAAAAACAGAUGAAGUCCGGCAAGCCAGGCCAGGAUCUCGGGAAAAGAACGGCAUGUUGCUGGGUGUCUCUGAAGCCGGGGAGGAGAGCGAACCUCUCGAAAGGAAGAGCUUUAGGGCACCACGCAAGCAGGCAAGGCAACAGUCACUUAAGGAAACUGGGACCUGAGUCACAAAAUUUGAAAAAUGGGUCAACUUGUUGAUGGGCUUUAUGUCGUCCGCGUCUGAGUUGUUACAUUUUCCAAACUUUUGCACUUUUUAAAAAAGCGUGACACGCUUCCAAGCUAGGAUUUACUUUUUGAAGCCAUGAUGAUAAUGGGGCACCUCGGUGGUUCCGUCGGUUAAGCAUCUGACUCUUGAUUUCGGCUCAGGUCAUGAUCUCCCAGGCGUGGGAUGGAGACCCUGCUUAAGACCCUCUCUCUCUUUCCCUCUGCCCCUCUCCCCUGCUCUUACGCACGUACGCGUGCGCACACGCGCUCUCUCUCUCCCCAAAACAAAAACUAGUAACAAAAAAAAAAACUGCGAUGAUACUUUAGGUGCAGUAAUAUUGCAAAAGCUGUCUUCUACACUUGUCUUGCCGUUAAGACAUUUUCACCAAAGAUGCCGAGCACAAGAAAAGGGAGUAAUCAACUCGGGCGUCGGGGACGAUCUUGCUAGAGCUUACGAGAAUGCCUGGCGCAGAGUGGAUCCUCACUAAAUGUUCGCUGACGGCCUGGCCGUUCGCUGGAAGCCGACGUGGCAACACCGUUACUUGUUAUUCUAGCCUACGAGGAGGCUAAUGUCGAAAUCUCGAGAGCCGUCUUCCCACAGGCUCCGAGAACCGUCUCGACCAAGAGACGCGGUCAACAACCCUACCAUUCCUGCUGUGCUCGCGCCUCGGUCCACAGCCGAAGGUAUUACAUGAAAGCCGGAUGCGAAGAAGAUGCUUGCCCGUGGGAUUAAUUUCCGCACGCCUAGCGAGAGGGAGGAAGCGGACUACUGUUUUCCUUUUCACGGGAGUGCUCUAUGGCUUACUCGCUACAAAGAUAGAAGAGGAAUAAAUAUGUACUAGUUAAUGACGGGGAGACGCUACAGUUUUGUGGCAGCAGUACAAAGCCAGGAAGUUUAGCAGUUUCCAGAAAGCCGCAUACGCUUUUCAGCGAAAAGGGCUUGUGAUAGCACUUCCUAAUGAAAUGCCAAAAUCCACACCGAGAAUGACGGAGUAGCCGGGUUUUUUUUUUCUUUUUUCCGUUUUCCCAACACGGAAGAUACACGGUAUGUCACGUCACCGCCAAAAUAGUUUGUCUUGUAACAAUAUAUGAAGGGAGACAGCUUAUUACACCACCUGUACUGUACUAUUUGUUAGUAUUUUAAUAGGCGAUUAAUCUUGAUGUGAUAGGAUUUAAGAUUUUUAUUUUUUGGCACAUAUGCUCAAGCUAUUAUGUUAUAAAUCUCAAACAUUUCAGCAAAUGUCAUCCUGAUUGUUCCCUACUGCACAGAACACUACCAGUGAAAUAUUCAAGGUCAGGAACUUGGAUUCUUUACCCACUGUAUUCAGGAAAACCAAUUUAUUGUUCUGUCUCGGUAAAGAGGGGUGAUUUCUUUGGGGCCUAUAUCACACUGGCAGCCAAUCUAGAAAACUUAUAAUUACUUUGAGGCAAUGGGGGUUUGGGAAGUGCAUUAAUCUGUCUCUGUGAAUUUAAACACAUACCCGAUAGCCAUUACUAGGAUAAAAUUCAGAGUUCAACAUUUUAUAUUACUUUUUAAGAAUGAAGUGUGUGCUUAAUAUGUUUGAAUGGUGCACGAGAUCUUCUAACAUAAAUCAAGAGCCUGUCUUUGCAAUGGGGGUGAAAUCUUGGGAAGGUCUCGAGGUGUUUUUAAAGCAACCUUCAUGCCAAGUGAUCCUGGUUUGGCCACUUAGUAUUCUCAUCAAUUUAUUGGAAUAAACAUUUUAUUACA